GAUGAACGCUGGCGGCGUGCCUAAUACAUGCAGGUCGAGCGAACAGACGAGGAGCUUGCUCCUCUGACGUUAGCGGCGGACGGGUGAGUAACACGUGGAUAACCUACCUAUAAGACUGGGAUAACUUCGGGAAACCGGAGCUAAUACCGGAUAAUAUAUUGAACCGCAUGGUUCAAUAGUGAAAGACGGUUUUGCUGUCACUUAUAGAUGGAUCCGCGCCGCAUUAGCUAGUUGGUAAGGUAACGGCUUACCAAGGCAACGAUGCGUAGCCGACCUGAGAGGGUGAUCGGCCACACUGGAACUGAGACACGGUCCAGCCUCCUACGGGAGGCAGCAGUAGGGAAUCUUCCGCAGUGGGCGAAAGCCUGACGGAGCAACGCCGCGUGAGUGAUGAAGGUCUUCGGAUCGUAAAACUCUGUUAUUAGGGAAGAACAAAUGUGUAAGUAACUAUGCACGUCUUGACGGUACCUAAUCAGAAAGCCACGGCUAACUACGUG
rnacentral:rRNA from 1 species